GGAAGAAGAUGGCAGGACAGAGGCUGAUGGUGGACCCCUCUGUGCCUGGUGCUCUCUGUUGGUCUCGUGGGACCUGCUGGCUGGGGGUCCCAUUCUGCACAUGGGGAAAUGGAAGUCCUCGGAGACAAAAAACAACACCCAGGGGCCAGAACGAGCACAUAUGAGCAGACUUCUUAGAGCAACGUUUAUAAAAGCCAAAGCCUGGAAACACCUGCACUGAAGUCCCCGAGUAGGGCUCAGUCGGACCUAUGACACAGCCUUCAGUAGCAUUAUCGGGUGUUUGUUAGAAAAAGAGCCGUCCACGUACAGCCACGACAGCUGCUUACAUGACAUUAAAUGAAGAAAAGCGAAGGACCCGUUGUGCACCGUGUGGACACACUUGAUUUCUGUGGCAGCUUCACACGGACGCACGCCGGGCACUGGCGGCCCCUGGAGACGCAGCCCCGACUUCCCUGUGCAGCUUCGACAGCAGCAUUGGUGGCUGAUGUCUUGGGCCUAAGUUCCCUGUGACCUUGGGACGCCUCCAGAGAGCCACGGCCGCCCCGGAGGAAGUUGCCUGCUGCCCUGUUCAGGGGAAGUCCGGCAUGGUGGGGGGAGGGGCUGCAGGCAGGGGAGACUGGGAUGACCCCAACUUUGAACUGAAGACUUCCUGGGGGGCAGCACCUCAGAACUGUUCAAAUAAUUGCACGGAGUCCCUUCAUUUCUACAGGGGGAGAAACCCAGGCCCAGAGAGGGAAAGUGAUGUGUCUGAGGUCACAGAGCAAGGUCAUGGUGGGGCUCAGCAGGCUCCCCAGGACCCUCUGGGCAGAACUCCAGAGCCUGUGCUGGGUGGGAGUGGACCAGGGCUGCACCCGCCUUCCCGCGUGCCUGUUUUCUUCUCCUUAGGGUCAUCUCCACUGUCCCUUUCCUCUCUCUUCCUCCUCCUUCUGCUUGGAACCCCCUCAGUUUGGUCUACAUACCCCCCGUCAGAGCAGAGGAACUCGGGGCGACUUGGUGAGCCCCCGGGUGAGGAUCUGGUUUGAUGCGUUCCCCUUGGACCCCUUGAACGUCCCCGUGUGUGCUGUGUGCACGUGUGCGGUGAUGGUGCGUGAGCGUGCACGUGUAUGUGAGCACACGCGUGCUGUGUGGUGGAGGAGACAAGGGUGACCCCCAGCCACAGGAGUGUUUGAAAUGCCCCAGACGCAGGGACAGCCCUAGGCUGCCGUGUCCCCGUUCUGCCGGCUGCCAGCGGGAGAUGUGUGUCCCCAGAGCCCGUCCCUCCCAGCAGAGCCUGGGACUCCGGGUUAAGAGAGGCAAGCUCUCAGAAAUAGUAAACCACCGUUUUCUCGC